rnacentral:rRNA from 1 species
UACGAAGGGGGCUAGCGUUGUUCGGAAUUACUGGGCGUAAAGCGCACGUAGGCGGAUAUUUAAGUCAGGGGUGAAAUCCCAGAGCUCAACUCUGGAACUGCCUUUGAUACUGGGUAUCUCGAGUAUGGAAGAGGUGAGUGGAAUUCCGAGUGUAGAGGUGAAAUUCGUAGAUAUUCGGAGGAACACCAGUGGCGAAGGCGGCUCACUGGUCCAUUACUGACGCUGAGGUGCGAAAGCGGGGGGAGCACACAGGAUUCGAUAACACGGUAGUCC